rnacentral:rRNA from 2 species
UUGCGCCAACCCUAGAGAUAGGGCGUUUCCUUCGGGAACGCAAUGACAGGUGGUGCAUGGUCGUCGUCAGCUCGUGUCGUGAGAUGUUGGGUUAAGUCCCGCAACGAGCGCAACCCUUGUUACUAGUUGCCAGCAUUAAGUUGGGCACUCUAGUGAGACUGCCGGUGACAAACCGGAGGAAGGUGGGGACGACGUCAGAUCAUCAUGCCCCUUAUGACCUGGGCUACACACGUGCUACAAUGGACGGUACAACGAGUCGCGAACUCGCGAGGGCAAGCAAAUCUCUUAAAACCGUUCUCAGUUCGGACUGCAGGCUGCAACUCGCCUGCACGAAGUCGGAAUCGCUAGUAAUCGCGGAUCAGCAUGCCGCGGUGAAUACGUUCCCGGGCCUUGUACACACCGCCCGUCACACCAUGAGAGUUUGUNACACCCAAAGUCGGU